rnacentral:lncRNA from 1 species
AAACCAUAAAAAAAGAGAGAGAAACCAAAAACUUACCCAAAUGAAAAAGCUCGAAAUGGGUUCCUUGAGAAGAAAAGAAACCGAUUUUUGGUGUUUCAGAGAAGAAAUGAGAGAAAAAAUGGAGGUUUUUGAGGGAAAAAGGCUCAGAAAAUGCAGAUUUUGGAGAGGGAGACGAAGGGAGCUUCGGGGAGAGAGAGAAAGCUUCGGGGAGAGGGAA